rnacentral:rRNA from 1 species
ACCCGCUGAACUUAAGCAUAUCAAUAAGGGGAGGAAAAGAAACCAACAGGGAUUGCCUCAGUAACGGCGAGUGAAGCGGCAAAAGCUCAAAUUUGAAAUCUGGCGUCUUCGGCGUCCGAGUUGUAAUUUGUAGAGGUAGCUUUGGGUGUACAGCCAGGUCUAUGUUCCUUGGAAUAGGACGUCAUGGAGGGUGAGAAUCCCGUAAAUGGCUUGGCCAGUGCCUAUGUAUAGCGCCUUCGACGAGUCGAGUUGUUUGGGAAUGCAGCUCUAAGUGGGUGGUAAAUUCCAUCUAAAGCUAAAUACUGGCGAGAGACCGAUAGCGCACAAGUAGAGUGAUCGAAAGGUGAAAAGCACUCCGGAAGGAGAGUUAAACAGCACGUGAAAUUGUUGAAAGGGAAGCGCUUGAGACCAGACUCAGGUAAAGUUGAUCAACCUCCAUUCUUGGUGGUGCACUCUUCUUUGCCCGGGCCAGCAACAGUUUUGGCGGUGGUAUAAAGGUUUAGGGAAUGUGGCUCUCUUCGGGGAGUGUUAUAGCCCUAUUCGUAAUGCUGCCUGUCGAGACUGAGGACCGCGCUUCGGCUAGGUUGUUGGCAUAAUGGUCUU